UUUUAUGAUGCUGCUUCGUGGGGAGGGUAAGUGGAUCCCUUUCGUUUGUCCAUUUAUCCUCUUUGGACAAUCCUGACCCUAAUCCUCUUGCUUCCUCUUUUUCUCAACUAGUCUCCAUGCGGAAGGGAGUCUUUACAACCCUAGAUCAGGAAGGGGGAAGAGCUGCUGCCAUUGAGAUCAAGAGGGUUCAUGACCUAAAUUUGGAGAUUGCCAACUCCACUCUCUUGAAGGACUUUCCCUUGUCCUGUUUGACUUUGAAGAUGAACUUUAAGGCUAUUGCCUCUAAGUCAAGUUUAAGAUGAG
rnacentral:lncRNA from 1 species